rnacentral:rRNA from 1 species
GACGAACCGUGCGAACGUUGUUCGGAAUCACUGGGCUUAAAGGGCGCGUAGGCGGGCUGACAAGUCUGGGGUGAAAUUCCGCGGCUCAACCGUGGAACUGCCUUAGAUACUGUCGGCCUCGAGGAAGGUAGGGGCAUGCGGAACUGUAGGUGGAGCGGUGAAAUGCGUUGAUAUCUACAGGAACUCCGGUGGCGAAAGCGGCUCUCUGGGACGGUACUGACGCUGAGACGCGAAAGCGUGGGGAGCGAACAGG